GGCUCGGUAGCUCAGUCGGUAGAGCAGAGGACUGAAAAUCCUCGUGUCGGCGGUUCGAUUCCGUGGCCA
rnacentral:tRNA from 1 species